rnacentral:rRNA from 1 species
ACCCGCUGAACUUAAGCAUAUCAAUAAGCGGAGGAAAAGAAACCAACAGGGAUUGCCCUAGUAACGGCGAGUGAAGCGGCAACAGCUCAAAUUUGAAAUCUGGCGUCUUUGGCGUCCGAGUUGUAAUUUGCAGAGGGCGCUUUGGCAUUGGCAGCGGUCCAAGUUCCUUGGAACAGGACGUCACAGAGGGUGAGAAUCCCGUACGUGGUCGCUAGCCUUUACCGUGUAAAGCCCCUUCGACGAGUCGAGUUGUUUGGGAAUGCAGCUCUAAAUGGGAGGUAAAUUUCUUCUAAAGCUAAAUACUGGCCAGAGACCGAUAGCGCACAAGUAGAGUGAUCGAAAGAUGAAAAGCACUUUGGAAAGAGAGUUAAAAAGCACGUGAAAUUGUUGAAAGGGAAGCGCUUGCAGCCAGACUUGCCUGUAGUUGCUCAUCCGGGUUUUUACCCGGUGCACUCUUCUAUAGGCAGGCCAGCAUCAGUUUGGGCGGUUGGAUAAAGGUCUCUGUCACGUACCUCCUCUCGGGGAGAACUUAUAGGGGAGACGUAAUGCAACCAGCCUGGACUGAGGUCCGCGCAUCUGCUAGGAUGCUGGCGUAAUGGCUGUAAGCGGCCCGUCUUGAAACACGGACCAAGGAGUCUAACAUCUAUGCGAGUGUUUGGGUGUCAAGCCCGAGCGCGUAAUGAAAGUGAACGGAGGUGGGAACCUUUCGGGGUGCACCAUCGACCGAUCCUGAUGUCUUCGGAUGGAUUUGAGUAAGAGCAUAGCUGUUGGGAUCCGAAAGAUGGUGAACUAUGCUUGAAUAGGGUGAAGCCAGAGGAAACUCUGGUGGAGGCUCGCAGCGGUUCUGACGUGCAAAUCGAUCGUCAAAUUUGGGCAUAGGGGCGAAAGACUAAUCGAACUAUCUAGUA